UCUCCUCUCUUUCUCUUUCCCUCCGUCUGUCUCUUUCUUUCAGCGUAUCUCUUCGUCCCUCUGCGAACGGGCAUAAUACCUGGCGACGAUGAUAAGGUCGCCAUUUACCGGAGAUAUCUAUGCUACGUUUAGACAGGCGCUAUCGACUGAAAAAGUUUGCUAGCGGUCUUUCCCAUUUUCCCGCCAACCGCAUGCCAAUAGUCUGCCGGCCGCGUCACAGAGACUCCAACAAGUGAAUUCCUCCGAAGGCGCACUACAAUAAACGCGAUGAUCACGGCUCGGAUGCACUGACACGACACGGCUACAGUACCGUGCGACACAGUGUGACACAGUCCGUAGCAUAAUGCGAUACCGAGCUAACUGAGCGCAAACACACCAGAAGAGGGGACCAGACCGACCGACACGCAAGUGACGGUCGUAGGAGAAGGAGAAUGUGACCUGCAAAAUGAGAAGGGAUGCGGGGGAAGUCGGUAAAACGAGAGAAAGGAAGAGGGAAAAUAUAUGUUUCAACCAGCUCGAGGAAGAGAUGACAUGUCUGACACAAGAGAAGAGGACUGAGAAGAGAGAGAAGGCCGACAAUGAGACGACCAUCGUUUAACAAACGAUACUGUCGCCAGUCGCCAAUAUAUGACGGUCUUGGGUUGUCUGGAUGUCUGGUUUGCACUAUGUAUUCUUGAACCUGUGGGAUCAAUCGACACGAGGAAAAUUUUAAAAAUAUAUCUUUGGAACAAGUUA